ACUUUCUUCUAGAAGUUAGACGGUAGCCAUCCUCUUCUACGAAUUGAGAAUAUAGCAUUAAUCUAAUAUUCCCGAAUCAAGUGUUUUCUAAUUAUAAAAGUGAGUAAAACUCAAAGGGAUAACUUGAAUAAAUUUAACCAAAGCCGAAAAUCUCUAUUAUACCAACUCUUUAUAUACUGUAGUGCUGUAGUGUGUGCAUUUGUUAUUUACCUUUUUCAUCAUUUUUUUAUAGACUACUCUAAAAAGAUCCUGUUUCUCUCUCUCUCUCUCUCUUUUCUAUUAAUCCAUCAAUGCUACCAUUCAAUAAAAUUAAGUCAUUAAAUAAAUAAACGUGGCGAGAUAAAUUUUUUCCAGAAAACUUCAAUAUUCGAGCUAUGUCUAUCAAAGCGAAAAGCUACAAUUGGAAAGAUACGAAUCUAUCUCUUUUCGGAUCGGAUACUGAAAAGAAAGUUAAAAAGGAGUCUGCCAAUCAAGAACCAGCUUGGGAAGGUGCCGGAGAAAAUGUUGGAUUAAAAGUAUGGAGAAUAAUGAAGUUUCAAGUUACCGAUUGGCCUGAAGAGAAAUAUGGAGAAUUCUUCUCAGGAGAUUCCUACAUCAUUCUAAACACAUUCAAAGAUGAAGAAAGUGACGCUCUUAAUUACGACGUCCAUUUUUGGAUUGGUAAAAAUAGCUCUCAAGAUGAAUAUGGAACAGCUGCUUAUAAGACUGUUGAACUCGAUACUUAUUUGAAUGAUGCUGCUAUUCAACAUCGAGAAGUUCAAGGCGUCGAGAGUUCUUUAUUCAAUUCUUAUUUUCCUUCGAUGAUCUUUAAUGAAGGUGGCGUAGAUUCUGGAUUUCGCCGAGUUGAAGAAACUGAAUUUAUAAUAAGACUCUAUAGAAUUAAAAGUUACGGGAAAACAGUCAAGAGUUUUGAAAUCCCAUUGAAAAAACGCUAUGUAACGUCGGACGAUGUUUAUGUUUUGGAUAAGGGAUCGGAUAUUUAUCAAUGGAACGGAGGUAGUUGUAGACAUAAUGAAAAGUGGAAGGCUGCGGAAUGCGUUAGUAGAUUGAAAAUCGGAAGGUCAAAUGUCAAUAUUCAUAACCUUGAAGAAGGGGAAUUGGACAGUGAGUUUUUUGACGUUAUCGAAGACGACGGUGAAGGAGAAAUUGAUGAAAGAGAUAUUGAGAAUGAUUUAUCCGAUUGUGGAAAAGCUCUUAUAAGAGUAUCCGAUGCUAAAGGGGAAAUGGAGAUGAUGGAAAUCAGCAGAGAUGAGGAGAUAAGUAGAUCAAGUUUAGACUCGAAUGACGUUUUCGUAGUUGACGUUGGAGAUACUGUAUUUAUAUGGAUAGGGAAGGAUGCUUCGGAAAAUGAGUCGAGGAAUGGUUUUGGAUAUGCUCAUCGUUAUCUUCAGAAGACCGCAAAUCCCCUUCGACCUAUUACAGUAAUUUCUGAAGGGAAGAAGAAUGAUCAUUUUAUUGCUUCAACCAAUCCCUGA
rnacentral:misc_RNA from 1 species